rnacentral:rRNA from 1 species
GGGGAUCACUCGGCUCGUCCGUUGAAGAGCGCGGUCAGCCACGAAAACUGAUGCGAAUUGCAGGACUCAGUGAAGGUCGACACCUCGAACGCACAUUGCAGCCUCGAGAUCC